rnacentral:rRNA from 1 species
AUGGAGGUUUAUGGGUUCUGUGCUAGGAAUUUGCAUGGCACUGUUAUCAUCAAUAUGAUGUGUUCUUCUCAAGCUUAUGGGGGAAUAUCCAUGGAACUGGGACUGAAAUUUCCAUUUACACCAUGCUUAUUUUCCAAGCCAACAAAGGGGUUUACUUGUCAAAGUAACUGGACCCGUACACGCAGAAGAAAUUUACCUUUACACAUGCUUAUUUCCAAGCCAACAAAGGGGUUUACUUGUCAAAGUAACUGGACCCAUACACGCAGAAGAAAUUUACCUUUACACAUGCUUAUUUCCAAGCCAACAAAGGGAGUUAGUUAG